UUAAGACGUGGCUUUUGUCUUAAUUUAUAGACGUUAUUGAAAUUGUACAAAAUGGAAUUUAUCGAGCUAAUUAUAUUAUACACGUGUUUGUAUUAAUGUGAAAUAAUUACGUCGGCGAACCAUUGUCCUUUUCUCUGAUGUAAAACGUCAAAUGAAGUGUGUAAUGAAUACAUGUUUGCAUUGAUACCGUGGACAGAAGCGUAGAUAUAUUUAUAUCUUUCAUUGGGUAAAUUUAUAGUUUUGAGGAUAUAUAUCGUUCAAUUGGUGUACGUUCUAUCAUGUAGUAGCUGUGUCUAUUGAAAACUACGAGGAUGGUGUACUCGAGGAAACAAACUUACGGUUUCUUGCCUGUUGCAUUUUCCAUGAUGUUUUCUCAGAAGAUUAUUCGUCGCGUCCUUUUCAUCGAUCUACCAAAAUCUGUCUCAUUUAACUACAGUUUAAUUAGAAAUUAAUCAGGACCGGAAAUCAAAUCAGGGGCAUUUAACUUAAAUUUCAUUGCUUCAUUCACACUCUUCCUGAUUAUUAAAAGAAAAUAUACAUGAAAUAAGAAAUAUCGAAAAAUAAUCGAAAACGAAUUCAAAUAUUUGGAAACGUUCAAAUUUUUUGCAAUUCGAAUUAUUAAUACAACAAAUAACAAAUUUUAUGAAUUGAAAUUCCUCAGUUUGAAAAUAUGGAAAUUAUAAAACAUUAUCAUCAGUUUUAUUCGAACCAAUGUUAAAAAUAUUUUUACAUAAAACUUUAGUGUAUUUACCAUUGAAAGGUAUCGUUCCCACCUCUAUCCUUCAUUUUCUACCGUGUUUUCUAAACAGAAUCGCAGUUUCACGAAAGCGCAGUGUCGCGUUAUGCGCGCCAUAUUUAUCAUUACAUAUCGGUGGCAAAAUACGCACAGGCAUUAAUUACAUUCGUACAGACGGUAAUUUCCAUGGUAAUUCGAGCGUUUUUCGAUGCACCGAAUAUAACGUAUUCAUAUCACGCGGCCGCGUUCAUCGUGAACACGCGAUACAUAUAUCGGGGCCAUGAUGUUCGCAAUAUUUGACAAAUAUUCAUAGAAUUCUUCUUUUAAGCUUGCGGAUGGAUAGACAUUCAAAAUAUUUAUUGAACGUGCUAUAAAAAUAUGGAAUAUAUUUUUGGUCGUGCGCCACGUUUGUUUUCGGUGUCCUCUGAAUAUUCUGCGACGCGGGAACGCACGCACGCGCGCGCGCUCGCGAGCGUAAAAAUACAUCGUGCGAUAACUGCGCCUCACGAUAACAGUCGCGAAUGUUUCCCGAUCCCUCAUAACCAAACCUUCGGCCUCCCUCGAUUCGGCAAUGACAACUAACCCCGGAAAAUUCCAAAUUGUACAAGUUCCAAAGUAAACGUUACCUUUCGCUGCUUUGACAAUGUGACUAACUGGACCAUCGCAUCGUCACGAACUUUUGGUAUUACUGGGCCACGUGGACAUUCGUUUCCUACAUCGCCGUCGUACACACAGAGGAUCGUGAACAUUCGUGUAAAAUUUUAUUACAGCUACGGGUAAUUUGAUACCCGAAAUUUGGAAAUGUAUUUUUCUGGUGAACGAACAAUUUGCAUGAGUCAAGCGAGUUAAAUGGAGUGUGAGAGAUGCGUGGUUGAAAAAGCAUUCGGAUUGAGUUCAUGUCAGAAACUUUUUGACGAAACAUUGCGAAACAUGUUAUUAUUUCUUUGAUAAUUAAUGUACGUUCAAAGUUGUUCCAAAGAAAAUUCUAAGUUUUUAUCUGAACGAUCUAUACAAUCUAAAAUAUCUGUGCCAUCUUCUUGUCUUUUAAAUAUAUUUGUACCAUUAAAUUACUGAAAUAUAUAGGUAUAUAUUAAUUGUUAUAAUUUCGGAAUAAAUAGUUAUACAAAUAAAUGAAUGCACACACUUUAAGGAAUUUUAUAGUGCAAAUAUAUUUUAAAAAUGAGACAAUAUAUGACACCUGUUGUGAGAAAUUUAAGUACCAAACUAUAUAAUAAAAUAAUUCCAUCGUAGAUUGAGAAUCAUAGUGGUGUAUUGCUUGUAUACCGCUAAUCUUCAUGAAAUAGUAUUCUACGUUUAUUAUUGUAAACAAUUGAUCAUAUUUUUCCAUUUAGGUCACGAAAACGUACCGUCGACAAAGAAUAAAGUUAUAGCUUAAUCGAUUAUGAAAUUAAAGAUACGAUAUUUUUAACUCUACUAAAUACAAAUCCACAAAAUCUUGAGUAACAUCGUUAUGGUUUAUAGCUCGCUAUGUGUAAAAAUAACUCGUACCGUAGACAGUGACAAACAACUCGCUUAAUAAUCAGAAAUCUACCUUAUACGUAUAUUUCAUCAUGUCCGACGUUAAACGCACAUAAACGUUUGCAGAGAGCGCAUUACGCAUUUUACCGGACACAAUGAACCCAUAGAGUGAACGUGGCAAAGCAGCGUGACCGUCGCAGAUUGAUAAUAAUGCGCUAAAAAGCGAACCACCCUUAGCCUAUCCACCACAAGCAUUCUCCAGUCUGUGAUCUCGAUCGACCGUGAUUAAUUUAUUUCAGAGAUUACCGGCCAUUUGUACGUGCCCUUUGGCCUGCGUCAAUAAUACCGGUAAUACACUAUGAUCGUCCAGCCGUUCGGUAAUCGCACACCCGCUCGAAAUAAACGUGCUGCAUGCCGGUAGAUUUCAGCGCGGGGCAGCCGCUUGAUGGAUUUCAACGGGAACGUUUACGCCGACGAACAACGAAAUCGAUCGGAAGAAUCGCGGCAGGGCACAUUCGACGACAACGACAUCGAAAAAAUUCAGCAGCUGACAAACGAGAAGAAAAGGAAGCAAGGAACCGGCCCGAUAAGAUCGAACGAGUCGGUGAAAAACGGUGGCGAACGGGAUUUCCACCGAAAUCAGCAAUAUCGAAGGGGGAACCAGCAGAGAGAAAAUUACGCGGAAAUGUACGAACAUAGAAAAGAUUCGGGCUACCAGGGAAGCUGUCACGAUAGAAACACGAGCAAUUUCACGGGUGAAAAUAUUUGGCAACACGGAAAUCCAAAUCUGUCUUAUGAUAAUUAUGGGAACAGCGUGAUUGAAUGCGAUGCAAAUAGAGCUAAUGAUGCGUACAGGAACUGCAAAAGCGGAAUAAACAUCAGCGUUGUCUCGCGGCAGCCAACGUGUGAAAAUGUUGCAAUGGAAAAACCAGUGUACAACGUUUCUUUUAAACACUGCUAUAACAACACCAAUCAAAGAUCUGAUCAGAAACGAAGAAGAUUCUUUUCCAGGAGCAAACCAAAAGCUGGUAAAAAGAGCAAACAAAUUGCUGGAAGCCCUCAGAACUACCGUUGCACCUUUGAGAACUGUUGCGGGAACUGCGAACCCUACGCUGUGAAAAGACAGGACGACGACUGUGGCUCGUGUAAAAAGUGGCAGAACACGGAUUUCUCUUCUAAAAACGAGUGCUUCGACGAUUGUUACUGCCCUCUCAAUGUGAAUUCUCAACAACCUUGCGUAGUUUACGAAGAGAACGAGCCAAAAUGCGAUUUCCCUCCCGACGAUUGUCACACGUCCAGCAAACAGUGUCUGCAGCGCGUCCAUUUCGCAGAAACUGAAAAUUGCGCGAGAACUGAUCAUUCUUCGUGUUCGUUCUGCUCGAGAAAGUGCACACCGUCCAAAGCGAGUUUGUUCGUAGAAAUCGGCGAAAGCGUGGCAAACGUGAGCAACCUGACUUCCGCUCAAGCGUUUCAAUGCGACGACUCGAUGGGAUUAUUGAAAGACGACGCUCCGAGGAAAGAAUACAGCGCCGUAAAAAGGAACAAGUCCGACUUGUUGAGAUGUCGUAGUAAAUCGAAGAAGAGCGAGCCGAAGUGCAGUUCCAGUUGUAAAGGUCGGCCAGGUGCCGUGGAACGCACUUGUUCGGAUAGAAUAGCGAGCAUGAACAUGUAUCUUGAUGAUUAUACGAUCGAACAGAUGCCCGAGGAACCGUUCAGCCCUGAGAUGAUAGGCAUUAUGCAGUCAAACGUGAGUUUUCAGGAUCUACGUGAUUGCAAAGCGCAAACGGAAAGUGACAUGUACAUCAAGAGAAAGACAACUGGUUGUAAUCAGCAAUGCGAGACAGACGAACGUUCGUUAUUGGACGAUAUCCGAAAACAGGUACAGGAGACGUAUAAAUGUUUCGUCAAAAUGGUGAUGACGAGUAUCGGCCAGAUUGUGAAACAAUCUUCGAAAUUAAAACGUUCGAAGAAGAGCACGAAGGACCGUUCCACGUGUGGAACAUUCAUAAAAAAUUGCGAAGAAAAUACAUGUGCCAACCAAUGCAAUCAGUCGGAAAUGUACAACGAAUGCAUGUACGAAGGGACGUGUUGGCAAGGAAUAAUAGGACAGAAAUCAAACAACUGCGAUAUGCAUUGCUGUGGAAACGUCUGUUGCGCUGGAUUGCCCGAAUGUCAAACACCUAUGUGUCAAAUUAUAUUUCCCUCUAAAGUUCAACACCUGUCUUCAGAUGAUUAUUGGAAACCUAACUGCGACACGCAAGAACAGAUUCAAUCAGAGAGGGAGUGCUAUUUUGACCCUAGCAGAAACGUUCACAGAAACGUAUAUUCUCCUAACGAAGCAGCCCCUAAAGAAAUACCAUGUCCCAAACACAGUAGCGUUCGCAAAAAGGGUGGUGGCGAUAUUUCCAAUCAACAAAAAAAACAGCCGACUCUGAACAAGCGCGGUGAACCAUCGGGCGUGUAUAAUCGCGAAAAUACCAGUACGAGAAAUCAAGUAACUAAGCAACAAAAUCAGGCGACGAGUCAAUUUACUCCUCAAGACCAACAAACGGAUAGAACUAACAUACAACUAGACGUGAGCGUUCAAGCGAAUUCCAUUCGCGCGGUACUCGAUCCUACGACUGCUCCUUACACAGAAAGUAUAGAGUAUCACAAGAGAAUAAGAACCGCGAACCGAUUAGAACCGUAUGCAGAUGAAAGAAGGGUGCCUCCUCAAAGAAAAGAGUGUCCUAGGAUUCAAGAAAUAGAAUCCACAUCGCACUCUUCUUCCAAAGAAAACCUGAAAACACCAAAAAAAUCAGUUAAUUCGUCAAAAAAGAAACCUUCGCCGAACCCUGCGACGCCAAAACAGGCACCCACGUCUCUGAAUCUAAGACAACCAUUCAUCCCUGGGAGACCGGAAGUCAAUGCUAGAACAGGAGUAUCGACUCCAAAAAAAGAUGUACAAAGAGACGUAGUAAAGCAAGAAAGAAUGAGAUCAAAAUCCACGGUGAUUGGAAAAGGUGUCCAAUGUACGCUGAUCAGGGAAGUGCGUAUAAUAUGUUCAACUGUGCCGGAGGUGAUUGGUCCGGUAGCAGAUCUUUGCUCGUGCAUGCCGAAGAAAGGAAUGGCACGUCCAGAUAAACCACCAUCCAAAAUUUCUCAAAUCGGAGAAGAAAGUCCUCCUGCAACUGAUGCAACUGUGGACAUACCUGAUGCAACUGUGGACGUGCCUGAUGCAACUGUGGACGUGCCUGAUGCAACUGUGGACGUGCCUGAUGCAACUGUGGGCGUACCUGAUGCAACUGUGGAUGUACUUGAUACAACUGUGAACGCACCUGAUGCAACUGUGAACACAUCUGAUGCAACUGUGAACGCACCUGAUGUAAUUCUGAACUCACCUAAUGUAACUGUAGAACCAAAUAUUGAAGAACCUGUGGAGGAGAAUGUACCUGCGGUUGAGUCAUCUGUAGAAACGCCAUUUGUAGACGAGGAUGAAACGACCGUAGAUCCAACCGAUGGUCCUACAGACAGUGAAGCAACACAUACAGACACAUCUACGAUUGAAACAACCAUAGCAGAAUCAUCCACAGAAGAAGCACCCGCGAGAAAUCCUGAAGUAUUAGAAACUUCUAAUGUAACGCCCACUGAAACAGCCGAAGUUCCCAUACCAGAUGAAUCUACGAUAGACGAAACUGCCAUGGACACGCCAAAGAAACCUGAAGAAGAAUUGAUUGUAACGCCAAUAGUCGACAAUCGUGGAGCACCGAUCGAGUUCUCGAAAGAUUUUAACGGGAAGAAAAUGUACGUCAGCGUGCAGAUGCAAACGUCGAACACGAUUCUAACGCAGAUCUUGUCCGAGUUUCAAGUAGGCAACAAAAAGCGGCAGGUACUGAUGAGUAUUAAAUUACACUCGAACCUGGAUGGAAAUGGCGAGGAUGAACAACAAUCGUCAGGAUCGAACAGUAGCGAAGUGACGGCCGCUGAAAGACAGUCUCCGAGAUGUGACAACUACGAUCAUCAGAGACGAAUAAGACGAGUUACCGUUAGUCCAUCCGUGUACCGUCGAACGUUGCCAACGAGGGAUACAUACAAUUCAUCGACGUACGCGUCCGUCAGCCACGCGACUUAUGACAAAACUGAAACAAAUUAUUCGCCAGAGAAUGAAAACAGCACAACCAACGGGACGAAUCAUGUGUGCGGACCUUGCGGAAAGAAGAGGCGAUGAUUCAAUCAGUGUUAACGAAGCUUAUAGCCAAGAGAUACGCCGAACAUCUUUGUGAAGCUACCAGUACAAAUUAUCAUUUUGGACGAUGCUUGACCCUAAAAAGAGAUUACAGGAAAGAUAGAUAUCAGGUAUAAUCUAUCUUAUUAAACGCUCCUUCAAAGAUACAAGAAUAACAAAGAAACGGUUCUUACAAAGAAAAUUGCUAUAAAAUACAAUAAUAAUGGCUGCGAAUACCAUUUUU